rnacentral:lncRNA from 1 species
AGCACGUCGUGUGUGCCCAUCAAAGAGACGUGUUCUGUGCAGUCUAGCCAGCACAUUGAUGGGGUUCCUUCCUCUCCACAUCUGGGUAUCAGAGGUGGUGACCCACAUCCAGAAGAGAACAUCCACUGCCCGGGAUGGGCACAAGGAGAAGGAUCACCUCUGUCCUGCUGAAAUGGCACAAGCAGGAGGUGGCCUGCAGAACCUUACCUUGUGGAGUGCUGACUGUGAGCUGAAGACAACCCUGAGCAGAAGCACAGGCGGGAGGGACCUUCUGAAAUGGCCAUCUACCCUGUGCAUGCAGCACAAAGGCAACCAAUUCCUCAUCUCUCCAGCCUAUAAAUCUUUGUUGACCAUCUCUGUGCUUGUCUCUAGAAGAACAUUUGAUCUAAUAGCCUUUUUAAAAAUUUCCCUUAAUUUUCCAGCAUAACCCCCCAGUGAAUCAUUAAUGUAACAAGAUAAAGAUCUCCAGCUAAGGAAUUAUUCUUAUUACAAAGUUCCCAAGUUCUAGUAGCAAACCUCUCCAGGGUAUAUAUUAA